rnacentral:lncRNA from 1 species
AAGCCUUUGCCUAUGGUAAUGAUCGAUGAAACGGAGGGCAAUGUAUGACGAAGUGCGCAUUUUGGAGGGUGCAAAUCUCUAUAUCUCUUUCCCCCGAUUGCUGCAAAUGUUCGCUUGAUGUGUUUCCUGGUGGUCCUCUCUUUCCUAUCAUUCAGUGUCUAUCAUGGUAUUGUAGUCCUUGUAUUCAUCAACUGUUACGGGCCAAGAAGGGAUUCCAAAUUCAGGUUUUUGAAGGCAGUUCUAACAAGUAACAAAGUAAUAAAUUGCAGUGUGAGAAGUUAAGUAUAAGCUAAGCAUUCUAACGACUAUGGAUAGAUGAAAUGCAUUUUGAAUGGCAGGUCUAACUUCUAACAGCUCAUGAGGAUCUCCACCUUAGAUAGAUAAAUAGUGGGCCAUGAAAUGUCCCACUUGACCAGGUAAGACGCAUAUUGAACUCUGAAUGGGUGACCAAAGGCAAUGGUGUUUGUGCCAGGUGGUGAAGUAUGAGGUAAUAAAUUUUGAAGAAAAAUAGGUACAGCGGAAGGAUGACGUUUAAUUUGAUUUUUCAUCCUGGGAUCCACCACAACUUCCUGUUCUUAAUCUGCUUAGAGCAGAUGAAAUAUGAACAGCAGCUUUUCAUGAUUCUACUAAGAUGUGUAAUCACUUUGUAGUUAGUAAAAGUUAUCAUUACUUUUUAAUGCUAAUUAUUGCCCUUUUUACGGUUAUUGUUACUUUGUUGUUAAUUAGGUGUUUAAUGCAUGUUAGUAAUAUUUAACGCUAUUGCUUGCAUAUACUAAUACUUGCUUGUUCUUUAAGGACUUCAACUGUUCUGGCUAAAUCUAAAUAAAGUUAACCUGGCAAGUAUAUGCCUUGAUUGUUGUUGUCAAUGGUUGACAGGCUUCUUGAUUGUAGACAAAUCUCGCAUUAGUUUUUCUCCUUGUCAAUACCUUGACUUAGUGUAUUCUCAAUAUCCUACUCUAUUCUUUCUAGUUGAUGAUCUUUUCGAAUUAGAAUGUUUUUCAACCAAUCUUUAUGGAUUUUUUUACAUAGAAUCCUACGUAUUUUAUCUGUCUUCUGCACCUUGCACCGUUUCAGUUUGAGAUCAAGCCCAUACCUUUCACGGUCUCAUUUUAAAGGAAUUUGUUUCAUGUCAACGGAUGUGGUUCAUUGCCUCAUCAUGUCAUCAAACAUGCAAAACUAGGCCUUGAGAUUCUUCUGAUUUUGGAUUUUCUGUUUGUCUUCUUCUACUGUAAUUUCUUUGAACUGUAAAAUCUCUUUAUAUGCUCCUGCCUCUAGAGUCUCUGCAUAUCAGUAGACUGUAUUAAUGAUAACUAUAACAUCUGCUUUCUUGUAGUGGUUGUAUUCUGUCCGAACAAUAGUGAAGUUCACAUUUACAAACUUUCAGAAGACAAGUGGGAGCAAGUGCAUAUUCUUUAAAAUGUCAUUAUUUCAGUACUUCAUCCUUAAAGAGUAAUUGACUUUGAAUUAAAAUGACUGAAACACAGGGAUGGCGAUAUACUAAACAUUAUUUAUGUGAGCACAGAAAUAAAAGCUAUAAACUAUAUUUAUUGAAAGAUAAGCAAAACCGCAUUUAUGUUGAGCUCUCUGAUUUCUUGUCUUCAGCAUGAUAAUUCUCCUGCCAUGUUUGUUUUUCUCCAAAACUAAAGAAAUAGGACCAGAAGACACUCUAUUUUAGUUUUCCCACUUUUCUAUUGCUUGUCUCUUUAUUGUUCUUUUCUCUCUCCAGUUUAUGGUAUUGAUGACUUCUUUCUCCACAAUGUCAACUGUCAUUUCUAAACAGUGAUUCGAUGACCACGUAUGACCUGCAAGCUGGAGUUCUAACUUAAGCUCUACAAUGUCUUCUUUCCCCUUGGAUGUCAAGGAAAUGAACUGGUGAAUGAUCAUGCACCCGUGAAAUUUGAUGUUGCUUGUUUUAUCUUGCUAACAAAGUUUAUCUCAUCGACUAACAGAUUUCCAGCAUUUAAUGAAAGAUUCUAGCAUGCACCUCACUGAUGUAUUGCCUUAAACAUGUAAUAAGUACAUGAUGGUUCAUUUUGGUCUUAUCUUUUGGUCUUAUCUAUGCUUGAGAAUUUAAUUUUGCAUUCUACAUAACAAGAUUAAAUGACUAAAGUCUAUGUUAUGCUAAUUAAUAGUUUAAAUGAAUAAUUUUGUUCUUGGUGCUCACAAUGGGGAAUGUAUCGUCACAACAUGACCACAUUGAUUCUGGAAUAGACUGGAGUGCUGUCAAACAGAAUAGUGACAGUGUCCCAUGAUCGAAAUUCGUGAGUACCUAAUGCAGUCUUUGUUCUUAUGUAAAAUUACCUAAUUGGAACCACCUUCUGUUCUACCUCCUUUCUGCAUAUUUUUGAGUAUCUAAUGCAAUUUUUUUUUCUUAUGUAGAUAUGUAUGGAAUCAUGAAGGAUCAGAGUGGGUACCUACCUUAGUUAUCCUUAGGCUAAACUGAGCUGCGCUUUGUGUUCAAUGCAGCCCAAAAGGUAUGCAGCAUCAUUGAGUUUGAAGACAGGAUGAUGUUGAAUGUUGCCUGUCAAAGACUUCUUAGAGUAUUUACAUUGUAUUGAAGGAGAAUAAAAUUCUGUUGAAAUUGCUAGGAGAAUUUGGUUCAGUCAGUUGUUCUUAAAAUGGCACUUGAGCUGUUAGACUCCAGGGAGCCAUUUACAAAUGUGAAGAACCAAUAACUUUCUGCAUGAAUUAUAAUUCCUCUAAUAGGUUUAUUCAUCUUUCAUAAUUAGUUAAAAAAUUGCACACAGUUUUAUCUUACUUGUUUGGACCUUGCAGUUUAGCUGUUUGUGGUUCUUUUUUUCUCUAUAAGUAAAGACAAAUUCACAACGAGGCUUCAAGGGUGCUGACCUAUAUAUAAAAAGAGCUGAAAGCAAAAAGAAUGCUCAUUUACCAAACUAGUGAGUUAGUUACGAUCUCUGAUUGUACUUCAAAUUUGAGGUCUCCCUAUAUUUCCAACUCUGUAAUGAUCCUUCUAAUCCUCUCUCCCCUCUUCCUUUACUCCUCCUUCACAUGUUACAGAUAUUUUCACUGUGGACUGCUAAUUUAUUCUGCUUGAUUUCCUCUUGUCAAGUAUGAUGAGCUAAUAAAUACUCUCAUCGUUUUCUUCUUUUCCCUGCAGAAAACAAAUUUUCUGUUGAAAGUGGGGCUAAGACAAUGUGCAUAUGCUACUAUGAGCAAGAAAACAACUGGCAUUAGCUUCUAUUUCUGGGUUUUUCCUCUUCAUUGUUUCUUUAAUUUAUUUUUCACAAUCUUAUGUUGGGUUGGACAUGCAUUCUUCUGAUGUGCUUUUUAGUAAGUCAUCACUGACUGAUCAAGGAUUUAUGGGUGAUAUGUUUUCCAAAUUUGGGGGACAAGUUAGUUGUGUUCACUGCAUUUGAACUCAAUUCUUUUAUGGUGAAAGCUUUUAAAUUCGGGUAUGAGCAUUGGCCAAGCAUUGUCUGCUUGAAGUUGACCUAGGUCGUUUCUGAGUAUGCGAUACUUGUGGAUGAGCCUUAUGUAGUUGUGGAAGCACAUAUAAAUGGCAAAACGCAGAAGUUCACGAUACAGGACUUUGAAGAGGAACAAAUAGUAUUCUGGCAGGGUUGAUGCUGUUGUACUGCUCAUUUCUUCAGCAGAGUUUGGAGUGCAAACUCCAAUGGAGACUUCGAAGCAGUGCUGUUGCUACACAUAUGAAUCAAAUAUCCCUCCUGCAGUUACUCCAAGAAUUUAGCAUUAUGGAAAUGAAGACCCGGAAUAGAAAUUUACUAGUUACUGACAUGCUCUAUAACUUCAUAAAGAAAUGAGAUGGUUACAUAUCAAAAAGACAGGAGAUUAGUCCACUUAGUUUCUGAUUUUGGUAAUUAGUUGACUUAGUUUCUGAUUUUGGUAGCUCUUCAGGAGCAGUUAUUAAUAUAUAUUCUGUUGUAGGUGGGUCAGUAAACUCAUCAGGAAAAGACACAAAUCAUCGGUAACAAGUGUUGCUCGGCAUCGUAACAAUGUGAGUGUGUCCUCUUUCUCACAUUUUUGUGGUGUUGGACACUUGCAACAAAGCUUUGUAUCUGUUGACUGGCUGCACCUGUGAAUGCCUUUGUUAUUUUCGACCAUGCUUUCUGCAUACAAUUUCUUUGGGUUACUAAUAGUCACUCCGUUUGUUUGAGUGAGAGUUCAUGAAUUUUUUAGGGCAAAAUAUGAUCUUACUCUCUAUAUAUCUGCACAUGAAAGCUGUUAAGAAUGGUAAUCAGUUUAAGCAGGAAAUAGUGAAAAAAGCACAGUGCAGUGCUGGAGAAAUAGACGUGAAGACAAUAAAAUUGAAAUGGUUCACUAGUUAGACUUGUUAUUCCCCGAUAAGGAUUCUGUACAAGAUGAUAUAAGUCUGAGAAUAGACUUAGUGAUUUGGAAUGGGAAAAAGAGUCGAUGAGUUUUCAGUCAGUCAUUGAUUUAGGCAUUUUCUUUAGUUAAUUCAUGUAGUCAAAGGCUAUUUUUGAGACAGGAUUUGAGAUUCAAAGCAGGAGAAGGGGAUAAAGAUGUACACGCUGACUCUUCUCCUUUCCCUUUUAAUAUUUAGGGCUGGCAGUCCUUGAAGUUGAUAACUUUAUGCAUUUGGUGGUUUCAUCUGCUGAUGAAUGAUUAUGACAAUGUUAAAAGAUUUAUUUAGUCUAUAUUACAUUUUGGUCAGUCCUAAAUGAGAGGAGAUGGCUUCAAAGCGGAUUCAUGCUUGCGAGAUCAAAGCUCCAAUCAAAAUUAUCAUGACUAGUUUCAGUAUUGCAAUAUUAUCUAAAAUCCGCAAUUAUCAAUCCUAGUAGUGAUUAAGGUUACAUCGAAGAUGUCCUUAUAUUGAGACCAACCAAGCCCCAACCACACUAAAAAAUGUUUGUGCGGAUGUGGUCCCUAAUCCGGAGCUUUUGACCCCAGAUUUAGUCACAAGGAUACUCAAGAAGAACGUGAAGCUAUUUGCAAUGACCAACUCCGGAGACGGUAAUGUGUUCCAUCUAGUAGCUUCUUUGAAUGUUGCCCCAGUAUUCAAACUCUCAGGACCAGAAACUGAGUAUUUGGCCCGAGAACAAGACAUGAAUGGGGAUCUUCCCAUUCAUAUUGCGAGCAAGAGCCGAGUGAACACGGGCUGCUAAGCUACUUCCGNNNNNNNNNNNNNNNNNNNNNNNNNNNNNNNNNNNNNNNNNNNNNNNNNNNNNNNNNNNNNNNNNNNNNNNNNNNNNNNNNNNNNNNNNNNNNNNNNNNNNNNNNNNNNNNNNNNNNNNNNNNNNNNNNNNNNNNNNNNNNNNNNNNNNCUUGACAGCGAAGUAUUCACAACCUGCCGCUUUGAUUCCUUUUGUGCUGGCUAAAAGAAUUAAUCCCACCCGUGUCGACCACGAAAGCUUGAUUGCUCUUACCAUUGCUUGAAAUAUCUCCAUAAGGGAGCCUACAUUACGGAAGGUAGAUCACAUGAAUAGUCACUAUUUUAUUUAUCGACAUGCUGGAAAUUUCCAUGGACUAAUACCUUGAUUAAGCACAGAUCUCGUAUACAACCAGUUGAUAGCAUUGUUGAAGCAUUGAUCAAUUUUCUAGGAUGGCCGAGACUUCGGUAGGGUUAACGUUCCACAAAUGUCUACUAUAGUCUUAAUAGGAGCUAGUUAAAGCUUGUGGCCAUGAAUAUGUCCACGGGUGGAAACAAGUUAAACAUCUUCGAGAAAUGCAUAUAUAAAUAGUUAUAUAUCUUGAUUAAUUGAGCAUAUAAAUAUGGUCAUGUAUAGAAGCGGGGAGUUGUGUUGCAUUCUUUUUUUCUUUUUCUUUUUCCCCAAAAAGCCAAGGGUCAAUGUUAGGGGUGAGCAUCGGUCCAGGGUCAACCGUGGACCGACCCUAGACCGGCCCAACCCUGCCGGUCUUGGUUCGGUUCCCAAGGAGAUUGGGUUGGUCCUUAAUCCUAGAAUUCCUAAAUCAGCACUGUGCGAGUCAAUCCUCGAUCUUGAAAGUUCCAGGUCAGUUCAACCCGAACCAAUCCUAACUAUAUAUAUAAUAUUAUUUGUAAUUUUUUUAUAUAGAGAAAACCUUAAAAUAAACGGCUUCAACAAUAUUAAAUAGCUAUUUAGUGAGGAAUUCAAGUAAUUUUACAUUAUUCUUUAAUAACUUAGGUUUUUAAUGUUUUUUACGACGUCAAUAGUCAUAAUUUACAAAGAAGGAAAAUGUUUUUGUGAGGAGUCCUCAUGGUAUCCAAAAAGGCAUCUUAUGGCAUCAUUCUCUAGUAUUCGUUCUCUUCUGUCUUAUUUGUCCUCUUAAUUUCAAUUUGCUAAAAUCGAAAAAAACAACUUCUCUGCUCGCCACUCAACACUCACCUCGCUCGCUUUGGGUCACUCGUGCUGCUUGCCACUUGAUGCAUGCUUGACUUGUUACUCCCCACUCUUUCUUAGCUGACCUUCCUCAUCAUCGAAUUCAUUGGGUCGGUACGGCCCUCGAUUGCCCUUUCAAAGAGUACAAAAACUACAGAACUUUCAAUUUCUGAAAUUGGAUUCAAUUUUGUGGUUAAUUUUGAUCUGGCGUGAUUUUAGCGUGACCUAAACUACUAGGUAGCUUUUAGGAAUUUUUGGUGCAAUUGACCUGUGAUUGAUUAUUUUCAAGCCACAUUGUACAUCUUUGACACAUUGGCAACUCUCGAUUGUUGUGAAAAUUUCGAGAUUUCAAAUACAAGCACAAGGUACGAAAAUGACAGAAAAAUCUAUCUAAUGCCGUUCGAUAGAAAUUUUGCAAUUAGGUGGAAUCAUCCAUACACUAAUCACAUACCUCUAUUGAAUCAACCUAUCUUCAGUCUCUAAUCGAUUUUGACGGUAUUGUAAUGACCCUUGUAGACUAGCACAAGUGAGAAGUCGAUUUCGAGUCGAAUUCUCAAGGUUAUUGUGUUAAAAUCCCUUAACGAAUUCACCUAAUAGGCUAGUUAUCUCGUGAGGGGUCCUCUUAGAGAAUAAGGUCAUAAGCGCGUCGAUGAAAAAUUCAUUUCAUCUCAUCGAAAUCAAGCUCAAAAAUCAGGAUGUCACAUACGUCUUCUUUAUCAUCUUAGUAUUCAAUUUACCAAAAUCAAAAGAACUCGUUGCUCAACACUCGCCUCCCUUGCUUCUGGUCGCUUGCACCAUUCACCACUCGACACUUGCCCCACUCGCCACUCGCCACUUGCCUCUCUUCGUUAACCUUGCUUGUCAUCGAACCCAUUGAGUCAAUCCGGUCCUCAGUUGCAUUUUCAGGAAGUUCAAAAACUGAAACAAAAAAAUUAUCGGUCGGUCCUAGGUUGACUCUGGAACCGAACCAAAUACAAUGGAUCAGUCCGAUCCUUGGUCCUAGGCUUAAUAGGAUCGGUUAUUAAUCUAAAAAAUUAAGGAUCAACAUUGUACAGAUUAGUCAUAGGAUUAAGAGGUGGACCAGCCCAACUCGAACCAUGCUCACCCUUAAUUUUGACCUGAAGCUUGGCUUAUAGGUGAAUUGAUUUCCUUGUUAUUUGACAUGGUAUCAAAAGGAGGGUUUUGAAUUCUUACUCGGGGUUAUGAUUUGUUAUGCAAAAUCAAGAUCGCAACAACAAAGUAUAAACAAGACUGGAGCAAUUCAAGGAUCGUGAAAGCUAGGCCAAGAAAAGUUGCUCUAAUACCAUGAAAGAAAGCAAGAAGCCAAAGACAAUGAGAAGGAAAAGAGAGAAAAUGUGGGGAUUUUUUUGUAUUUUUGUAUUUUUGUAUUGCUUACAGACUCAAUGUACAUGCUCCAUAUUAUAGUACAAAAUGUAUAUAAGAAAAAGACAAAAAUAUAAUCAACAAAUCAGAUCCAAUAUUAAAUUGAUCUCGAUUGAUUCAAUAUAUCAAUUUCAAUCUAAAUAAUAUCUGGAAGAUUCACGCGUAUCUUCCAACAAAGAUCAGCAAAAGAAAAAGAAAAAUAAUGAUUAUUUGAGUAAAAGUAAAUGAUAAAUCUCAUUUUAUACCAGGAUAUGUUCCAAUACUUGAGCCGAUUAAUUUCAUCCAAUGUAAGCAAAUCUGUUUGCCCAUGUGCAUUAAAUGAAGGCUCUCUCCAACUUAGCAACCAAGGCCAAAGCUACUAUCAUUGAGGUGUAUUUUCGAAGCAUGAAAUUUGUGUUCUUAGAUUAAAUCACAAAUUAAUCAACUAAUGCUUUAUGAGUUAAUUAAUGGUAGAGUAGAUGGAAGUGGGAAGCCAUGAGAUGAGAGUCAUAAAAUUUAUAGUAGAUUAGUUUAUCGCAAUUUAAUCAUUCAAACCAAUUUGACAUAGAUUCCAAAUUAUUCAUCGAACCAUUUGAUGAAAAAGCUAACUUUCCCCCUUAAAUCAAACAAUUUCUUAAAAGGAAAAAAUUCGAUAACUUCAUGAUCUCGAUUGUUCUUAAUUUGAAAAUAGGUACAUGUGUUUUCCAAAGCAUGACGAUUUUCUGGAUUAUUCCUGUUGCUGUUGAGGUUAUUAUGUUUCUAUCCUAAUAAAGCUAAAAUAUUCACGUUCAUCGUCUUUUGUCCCAUUUGUGAUUUCCCCUAUUCUUAUUUAAGUUUUUAAUUAUUUCGGCUCGAUUUCUGCAUUUUGCUUCUUAUCGAAGAGAAGAAAGAAGGGGCUUCAAUCGGAUGGAGGCAAUUAGGUUGGGCCACCUCCGUACUCGUGCAAGAGCCCACCCGAGCUUGUUCAAGCAGUGACUCCUCGCCAGAUUAGAUGAUGCCACGUGGCUAGCCUCCCGCCGACCACAUGGAAGUGGGACGCUGUGCAUGAUGGCGUAAUUUAUUAUACGGACUUUCAUGCACUUUUUAAUUAAUUAAUUUUGACGAUGUAAUCUAAAUCUUUUUAUAAAAUUCCAAUACAAUUGUUUCGAUUCAUUUUAGUUGGAAAAGUUUUACGUGGCAAUCCUGUCAUCGUUGGCGGGCCUCCAUGACAUGGCCGGUGGCCCAACGUCUAGUGUGGACAAAUUUACUCGACGUCAUUCUGAGUAAAUUUUCUGAAUUUUCUAUUUUUUUUUUCAUUUUUCUUUGCGAUGAAUCAUCACCUUCUUCCUAUCUUCACGGUUCAUCAUCUGCUUGAUUUUUUGCUUCGAUAAUUCAUCACCCUUCUCUAUUUGCCGUUCAGGUCAGCGGCUCCCAAUUCACAGCAAGCUAAGGAUCUUAAGCUCCGCCGCGUCGUCAAGCUCGAGUUCAAGAUCUGGAGGGCUUGACAUAUGUUGCGGCAACGAAAUCUGGAGGGCUUGAGCUCCGUCGCGACAUUGAGCUGGAGCCCCAAGUCUGAUGGCUUUGACCGUCAAUUCGGAGAGUGUUGCGUCUUAGCUAUUCGCGUUCUCUCUGUAACGAGACUUGUAGAGUUCUGUAACAAAGUGAAUAUUCGAUUCCGCCGCCAUGAAGAUGUGUUCACAUCAUUCUAUGAAACCUGCAGUCCGGGAUGAACUUGAUGGGUGUUCUAAGGCCACAACUUUUGUGCAUAUAAACGAUUGACGAAUCAACUUCUUAAUCUGGCUUCGGAGGGAUAGUGGAAGGAUCUUGCUCGCAGUCCAAUGAAACACUAAAUCGAAUGGCCUGAACAUGCUUUUCAUAUGUGUUGCUAUUUUGUGAUGAUAGGGGUCGUUGUCGCGACCAAAUUUUCGAGUGUGAACCACCUAGAGUUUGGGUAAUGGAUUGUUAAGCUUGGACUUAACUCGGGCUCUCCCAACCCUAUACCAAUUCGCGACUUAGGUUCAAGUUUUUAACAUAAAAUUGAUUUUUAAUUAGGAGUCGCCACUAAUCUAUUUUUGGUGGGUCGAUUAGAAACCCAAGUAAAGUAACGGGAGUUUUACUUUGUUCCUACGAACCAGAGACUCUAGGUACGGGGACUUGGUUACACUAUAUUUCUCUAAUGCCCUUUCGGUACCAUUAUUUUAUUUUCAAAAAUGUUUUUGCAGGCAGUUUGGAUUGAUUUUAAAUCUAUUUUCCUAACAUGUGAGGUGAUCAUACGGGUGCGCAAACCACCAAUUUAACACCCAGAUAAACAAUGAACAAAUUACAAAAACUUACCUCAAAGUAAUUAAAGCAUCUGCAAUGUUAGAUUAAAAUUCACAUCAUCAACCCUAGAAAUGAUUUCUAAUUAACACGUAAUUUUUUUGUUUUCUCUUGAUUAAUGAAAAUCUUGCAAUGUGCAAUGCUGUAUUAACUAAAUGACCUAAUUCUAAUGACAUGCAAUUUCUAAUUAAAUGGACCUAAUAACAAUCCCUAAAUGACGUACAUUUCAUGAAUCUAAUCCUAUGUGACAUGCGCAUGAUUUUUGUAAAUUUUUAAAUAAAAAUUCGUAAUUAAAAAUAAAUAAUAAUAAAAAUCUAAUUAGAGUGAGAUAUUAUCUAUUUUAAGUUAGGAAAUAGACUAACCUGAAUCCUAUCUUAACUUAGAAAUUUAUCUCGACAUGCAAUUUAAUUCCAAGAUAUUGUCUAACCUAGAUAUCAUCUAAACAUGCAUUCUAAUAUAAUUAAAAAGAUAUAUAACUAUUCUAUCAUGCAAUUAUAGGAAAUCAAAUAUAAUCUACAUGAUAUGCGAAUGCAAUCUUUUUUGUAUUUUCGAGAUAGAUAAAACAAUUAAAAGAUAAGCACAAAAUCAUUCAGAAUUAUCAAAGAUAUCACACCUCGUCCGAAUCAGGAAACAAUAUCUAAAUCAAACUUGAUUAUUUCGCUAAUAAAAUCGAUAAACUGAUCUAAAGCCUUAUAGAUAGAAUAAAAAAUCGAUAUGCGGUUGUGAACUAGGAAAUAAAUCCUAAUUGAAAGUUAUGUCUAUUACUCAUGGAUAUGAAACUAGAUAUAAAUAGACAUAUAUUAGGCAAUAAAAUAUCCAAAUAUACCAAAGAUGUGCAUCUUACCUAAUUUGAUGAUAUUCUUCCCAAAUUUGGACCAAGUGCAAUCGGACCGGGGUCGCAAUUGGGAAUGGCGGUGGGUGAUCGGCUCACAGCAGCGGCUACUCGUGUUGGUGCGGACUUCUCAGCGGUAUGACAACGAUUCACGUAAAGGUCGUCACGGCAAGGAGUGAAUUCGGUGGGUGUUGCUUCGUUUCUCUCCCCAACGCGGGAUCUGGAUUGUGGCGAUGGACGUGUUCUUGAUUUGCAGAUGCCAUGCAACUGAAAUCUCCAAUUUCCACUUUCUUUAUAUUGUCUCUUUCUUUGGAAUUCUCUGCCCUAUAUCACGUGGCCAUGAAUUUCAAUUGAUGCUCCUUAUUUUGGCCGACAUGUUGUGAUGAUGGAACUAAAUUCGCCUCUUGGACUCACGUGACGGCUCGAUGGUUCCUCGAUCAAUAAGGAUUCCCGACCAAUUGAUGGCUCGAUGGUUCCUCGGUCAAUAAGGAUUCCCGACCAAUUGAUCGACGUCGUAGUGAUUGACCAAGAAAAGGCCGCGGUGGUGGCCCUGGUAGUGUGCCCAGAGUGACGGUCGGCUAGGUGAGCUUCUCGGAACAGCAAGAAAUCACAGGGGACCUGGAAAAACAGAGAAAAAAGUUUUAUCGUCGUCUACGGGAUGGCAACGAUUGACGUCGGGCAGCAAGGCGUCACGGCUCGCGUUGGCUUGGAACAGCAGUUGGAAUCUCUAGUGACUUGGACAAGCCACCAGGGCUGCAGAAAACUCGCUGGAUCUCCUAGUAUGAGGAUCUGGAACGCUUGAUUGCAAAAGGUUGACCAAAAGACCACAUGGGUCUACUGAUGUAAUCAUUGAACCCUUGGACUACUUGAUAAUUGCGAAGUUGCUAGAUCACCAAAGUGGAAGAAAGCCAUUAACUCAAAUCAGUAAGUGUAAGCUCUUCAUAGGUCACGCCAAUGUGGCUAUCCGAGGGGUAUGCGAUGGAAGGAACUGCCGCAAGCUGUUCUCGUCGAACGAAACAGCAAAAGGAAUGGUGUCAUGGACGAUGAGGGCGCGACUGUGGACGGCAGCAUCGUGGGAGGUCUCACGAAAAACCUGGCCUAGAGCACACACACACACUCUCUCUCUCUCUCUCUCUCUCUCUCUUAUGAUCGUGUCCCUCAAUCAAUGGUGGCCGUGUAUUCAAUGUGUGUGGCCUCCUCUUAAAAACCCUAUACGACUAAACUAUUUAUAAGCCUCAGACUAGGGUUUUAAUUUUUCCAAAUUGAUAUCCACGAAGAUUCUUUUUUCUUCCAAAUGUAAUAUUCACUUUUCACAUAUGCCCUAUCCAAAAAUUCAUCAUAUCCCGAAAAAUUUCAAAUUUUAUUUUCUCACGAGAUAAUUUUCGAUUACUUAAAAAAAAAAAAAAAAAGGCCUAAGCCUAUUUGCUCGCUUCAUGGGCUUAGUCCGGCCUAUCAAUUUAAAGCUCAGAACCACUAAUUCAAAUACACCCGUCACCGGUCCAAUAAAUAAAUGCAAAAUAUGUAAAUUAAAAAUAAAUGCACCUACAUCUAUAUACUAUGCAAUUGAUAUUUUUUUAGGGAUAAAAUUAACCCCUAAUUUUUAAUGUGAUAAAUGACUAAACGGGUCGCCAAAAUUUAGGUGUCAACAGUCGUAUUAUGUGUUCCAUCGAAUUAACACUAGCAAUUGUCACCAAAUUUCUAUGCAUAUAAAUGAGUUUGGUGUUUGGUUCAUGUUGAUGUAUAAUCUAGGGAGCGGCGGACGCUGAAAUCUAGUCAGGACGGAGCUAAAAAGGAGUUGCAAUACGUAACUCUAGGAGAGGGGAAAUUGUAGAAAAGUGACUAGAUAUGUAAUUCUCCUCCUCUGACCUCUGUUAUUACUUCAAUGUUGGUUGGUAUUGACUUGUCAAAUGAAACUCUGAUGUUAUCCUUGAUAGUUUUGCCUAAUGUAGGUCUCGAGUAAACAUGGUUCCCAACGAGGUGCUUACGGUCUCAACCCAAAAAUGCCAAGGGAUUUUCUAUCUCUUGCAAGGUCCUAUUUUUCCUCUCAACAACAUCAUUUUGUUAUAGUGUGUAAGGAGAUCGUGCUCAAUGUACUCAUCACAAAAUGAUUUAAAGUCAUGAUUGCUUCUAAUGCAUGAAAUGCCAAGCCCAUUCUCAUUUUGGACUUUCUUAGCAAGCUUAGCAAAUGCAUGCAAAGCAUUAUUCUUAUGAGGUAGGGGAAAAAAACAUCCAAGCAAAUCUAGAAUGACUUACUAUAACAAGUUCAUACAUUUUUCUUAUGCAGGCAGUCUCAAAAUGGAAAUAUAAACCUGCUUAUAGAUUAGAUCUUUUGCUAAAGAUUAUGUUAAACAUAUUUAGGAAAUCUACUUGACUAUGAAUAUUCCUGAGGAUUAUGUAAUAUCUCUUUUGAUUGCAGAUAUCUUGAUUAAUAUAUGUUAUCUUUGAUAGUCUCUCAUAAAACAUUUAAAUAGGCUGAUAUACUAUUUAUUAUGACAUAUCGAAUUAUAUAGAAAUUCAUCAAAUCUAUCUUCCGCAUUAUUAUUCUCAACUCAAUAUCAGAGUCUCCUUUCCUAAGUCAACUCGGUGCACUCAAUGCACCUCACACACCUAGAAAUUUCUUUCCACUUUAUACCUAAUGCACCCCGAAUAAAAGAAAUCCAUCCCGCCCUCGACAAUGUUCACCAAAAUGCCCCAAUUCUCAUCUAAGUAGGCACCAUGGUGGUUGCGUUAUGAUGUUUGUAAUGCGUCGCCAAGUCGGGUUUUUCUUUUCUAUAGAGGUAUUUUUCGAUGCCAGAAAGAUGUGUCUUCGCACAAUAACUUUUCGCUUAUCAAAGCUUGGCUUAUUCUGCUUGCUGUAAACAUGCCAUUUGUUUUGGCCACGUUCAAGUUACCAUCUUGAUAGUAAAGUUAGCCACAUAGGCUGCAUCCUAGUAACUAUUUUCCCAGCUAGCUGUAUAGGCCGCUUGAUGCUACGACUCUAAUUGUAUAGGCUACGUUGCUUAGUUGCUAUUUCGCAAGCUAGCCGCAUCGGUGCCUUAUUGUUUUCCCUUAGAUUCUCACCGCUUACCACUCAUAGACUAGCUAGAUUUGGAAAUUUUGCCAUCAAUAGCUACCAAAUGUGGCCUCAUCUGCUACGUCUCAGCAAUAGGACAUUGUUUGGACUUGCAUUCAAACUCAAGUUGACAUCUUCAAUAUACCUUGAGAUAUUUAGGAAAUCUACUUGCUUAUGAAUAUUUCUUAGGAUUAUGCAAUAUCUCCUUUGAUUAUACAUAUCUUGACUAAUAUAUGUUACAUUUGAUAAUCUCUCAUAAAGCCUAUAGAAGCAUGUAGAUUGGCCGGUUCCCGAAUUGCCGAUUAUGGUUCCCAUCCAAUCUUGUUGCUGGGUUACCCGUGAACUAAUAGAAGCAUGUAUAUUUGACUCAGUAUUGGGUUUUGAAUUUUUGUCUUUAUAAAUAUUCAUUUAACUAUGUUUUUAGCUUUUAUCUUUGUAAUAGUAAAAUUAGCUUGAAAAUGACACUAGGAGUGCCAUAACUUUUAUACUGCACUCUCUUUAGUGUCUAAACUUUUAAAGCAAUCACUUAAAUGUCUUUCCAAAAAAAAAAAAAAAACAUUUGCUUCAAUACUAUCGCCAAUUUGAAUUCCCAAAAAUUUAGACAAUGUAUAGACAAUGUAAUCUUUUAAAAUAAAUAAUUUGACAUGGCUCACUGGCAAAGUAAAAUCAACGUUAUUUGACCUAAACGACAUCCUCUAACUCAUGUUCGCCCCCAAAUUAACAAAUUGGGUUGAGUCUCUUCUUCUAACACUUGAACUCCUGUCCAAGGAUUUUGGAGUAAAAUUACAAUAUGAAACUUACAUUGGAGAGAAAGAGUAGGAAAAGAAACUCAAGAUUGUGUUAACCAAUUAAAGAUGAAGGUGAAUAUAUAUUAUUCUAAUUUUGGGCUUAAAAGUCAAAGUAUAAACAACACGUCAACUGCCAAUAUCCACUUUGAAGCUUCAAGUUUUCGUACCGACUUUCAGAUCACACCAUUGGAUUUUCUCCUUGCUAGUUGGUGAAUUCUUUUGAAAAGUUAUGUUCUCUUCAAUUUUGUGGGUAUUUUCUUAAUUGGUGAUGCUUAAUCAUCAGAUUGUGUUGCAAUUGACUCUUUUAUGUGGGAAUAAGAGAACUGAGGUUUUCAUGACAACAAAACCUGCAAAUAGCAAUUCAUAAAUUUUUGUGUAUUAGUUUUCAAGAUUAGAGUAAUUUGUGUGGAUCUAAUGCGACCCAUUUUGUGCUUUUAGCCGUGAUAGCCCCUCAAGCACCGAGCCAUAAUUUUAUCCCUCUAAGCUCUCACCUUGUCCCCCGCCUUCACUAUUUAUGCAAUACGAAAGGGGGGGGGGGGGGGCGGAGGGAGGGUAAGGGUGAUCGGUUCCCAAGUGGACCGGUUCUUGAUUUAGAAUCAGGAAUCGACCCCUUAAUUCUCGGAUCCAAAAUUCUAGAAUUGGGAAUCGAAUUAGCCUAUUCCAACCCGAUUUCUGAGUUACCUACAAACUGAUAGAAAGCAUAUAGAUCCACUCAGUAUUGAUGUUUUUAUUUUAUUUUGGUCUAUAUAAAUAUUCAUUUACCUCAAUUCUUAAAAUUUUGGGCUAAGGGUUACUGUUCACGCUUCUCCCUUCUUGGGUGACUGGAUACUGUUCCUUCUGCAAUUCGAGCUGUUGAUUCCAGGGGUGUUGCCCAUUCGGUUGGGCCAAUUUUUUGGGGGAAAGGGGCGCCUCUUGCCUCUCUUUCAACCCCCCGGCAUCGUCUCCUAGUACGUCUCCUCUCCUCGUUUCGCAUGGCUAUCUAUGGCUAGGGUUCCGCCCGCCUGCUUGCUGCUGUAAUUCAUUAGUUGAGAUGGAAUUGGAGUCAAUGAGGGCUCGAAAUGAGGAGAAAGGGACAAGUUCCCAUGGUGGGCCUCCCACUCUAACUAAGGAACCUUCGUUGUUGACUGUUAUGGGAGGAAAUUCGAGUUCGGACACCAUGUUUGGUCCGAACGAAGCGCGAGUUCCUCACCCAAAUGGUGGGGCGCGACCUGUCUAGCGAGGAAGGUCCCGCUUAGCUAAGCCUCAGGGUAGGGAUGCCUCUAAGAAUCCAUCAGGGAAAACGUGGGUUGCGGUGGCAAGAACCGUGGCCAAGGGCUACGAUCUGGUGUAUACCCCACCGAAUAUGGUUAACAAUAGACCUGUGAUUGAGAUCACUAAUCAAGAUCUGGAAGCUGCAGAUCCCAAGAUGUUUGAAUGUUUAAGGUAGUUGAGGAGGCUAUGAAGAAAGCGUGGGGGCCGAACCUUGUUGAAGUCAUGUCAAAUGGCAAAGGUCUUUUUAUAUUUUGCAUUCCUGAUAGGGAUUCCGCCGAAGUGUGCUUGAAGUGGUCGGAUGACGGUUGCUAGAAUACCACUUGUCCUGCAGCAAUGGUCCCCAGGUCUUGAGCUGAGAAGGGAGACCCACCGUACGGUUCCUGUUUGGGUUAGACUAUCGAAUAUUCCCUUUUCGUGCUGGUUCGCCCACUUCAUCGGGAGGGUUGCAAGUGCGCUUGGCAAACCCCUUUAUGUAGAUAAGAGAACAGAACAGGUGAGCAACCUUACCUUUGCUAGGGUCUGCAUCGAAAUUACUGCUGAUCAACCUGAUUGUAAAAUGAUUGAGAUAACCCAUAAUGGUACGAAGUGUGAAAUAGGAGUGGAGUUUGAGUGGCAACCCAUUGCCUGUGCUGGAUGUGGCAUUUUUGGCCACAAUUGUGCAAUGGCUAGUAGGCCUGGUAGACCUGGAACAGAACGCGCUGAUGCUGGUCGUUCAUCAGAGGAGUCUGAACCUCUUAGCAAGGCCGCAAGUGGGAGCAUCUCUCAGCAAACCAGACCACCUUCGGUGGCGUCUGAGGAUCAAAGGGGAAUGUCUUCGGGUAUGCCUUUGGUCCUUCUUCCGGAAUCUCCAAUUGAUGCAGGAUAGAACAGGAGCUCCUCUUGUGGUUCCUUUCCUCUCGUUCAGCUGGUUGUGGAUCUGGAGGAACCUCUUCCAUCGCACCAAAGUGACCUUGCUCAGCAUGGGAAUCAGGUCAAAGACAAAGAGAAGGAACAGACGCCGCAGAAUCUGAAUGCUUCACUGAUACCAUACUCGGAGGAGGGGCAGUCUCGCAACCUGAAGGAAGCUGUGCCUGGCCAAAAGCCUCCUAAAGUCCCUGCUAAACCACUUGGAAAAAUCACUCAGGCUUCUGACUUGGCACCAGAUUCCGUAAUGCCGUCUGGAGACCAGGAAGAUGAUACCAGCAAUUCAUCUAAUGAAGACGGUGGCCACACGCCUAGACCCACUCCUUUGAGUGGUCCUUCGGAACCUACUGGGGUUGGUUCGAGCCAAGAUCAGCUUCUCCUUUUGCUGCCUGACCCGCCGGGACCUUCGCCUGUGGAGGACUCAAAACCAAAUAGAGGUAGACAUAGAACCGCCAAGCGGAAAUAAUUCUAUCCUUUUGCUUCUAUGUUUUUUGGCUUUUGGAAUGUUAGAGGUAUUAUGAACCCUGUCAGGAGGGCGGAGAUUAGGAAGUUUGCUGUUGCUAAUAAGCUUUGCCUUAUGGGGCUUUUUGAAACUAAAGUCCCAGAGCCUUUGUUUGGUUCCAUUUCUUCCAAUAUUUUGAGAGGCCGGAAUUGGAUUGCGAACUAUGAUUUUGCUCCUCGCGGUAGAGUCUGGAUUGGAUGGGAUCUAGCUACCGUCAAUUUUGAGUUGAUCUCUUCAAAUGACCAAGCCAUCCAUGGGUGCGUGAAGGGGUUAUCUUCUAAUUUUACUUGCUGUGUUUCUGCUAUUUAUGGAGAGCAUUCCUUUGUGAGGAGGAGGCCUCUUUGGUCUGAUCUUAUCCAUUGUGAUGAUCUUUUUCAAGACUAUGCCUGGAUUGUAGCGGGAGAUUUCAAUGCAAUCAAGGACCCUUCUGAUCGCGUUGGUAGCUCUAAUGCCUGGAUCCCUUAUUUUGAUGAAUUCAAGCUUUGUCUGGACCAAACGGAACUUGAGGAUCUUAGGUACUCUGGCCUUCGAUUUACCUGGUCGACUUCGGCGGGUGCGAAUAGGAAGAUGCGAAAAAUUGACAGAGUUCUUGUCAACUCUAAAUGGAGAAUGGACUUUUCAUACUCGGAGGCAUCUUUUCUCAAUCCUGGAAUUUCUGACCAUACUCCUAUGGUUGUUAGGGUAGUGGAUCUGCGUCUAAGGAGGAAGUCGUUUAAGACUUUGAUUUCUGGGUUGAUCACCCGGAUUUCCAUUCUACGGUUUCGUAGGUGUGGGAUAGUCAAGUUUGGGGAGUCCCCAUGUUUAAAUUAGUCUCGAAGUUGAAAUUGUUGAAAUCUCGCCUCAAGGAUCUUAAUCUGGAGGCUUUCUCGGAUAUUUUCUCUAAGAACUCUUGAAGCGAGGGAAGCCUUGCGUUCUACUCAGCACCUCCUUCAGUUGGAUCCUGAAAAUAUUCCACUAGCUGAACUUGAAAGAGGGCAGCGCCGUGCUUUUAUAGACCUUCGUGGUCAAGAGGAAUCGUUCUAUAAGCAAAAAUCAAGAAUUAGAUGGCCGAAGGAAGGAGAACGCAACACGAGAUUCUUCCACAACUGUGUUAAAGCUAGACAUCUCAAUAACCGUAUCCUCUCUGUCAAAGAUACUGCAGGUACGGUGAUCUCGGAUCCUGAUUUGGUGCCCUAAGUUUUUCUUGCUCCUCGAGUUGGCUUAGCUAAGCUUGAUCUUCAAGAGCUUACUUCUCUCAUUCGAAAGCCGCUAUUCGAUAGCUAGGUAUGUUCCCUAGCUUCGCCCGUCUCUGAUUUGGAAGUUAAGAAGACCUUGUUCUCGCUUGCGAAGGGAAAAGCCCCCGGUCCAGAUGGUUUUACAGCAGAAUUCUUUAAAAGUAACUGGGAUAUCGUGGGCUCUUUAGUUACAGAGGUUCUGAAAGAUUUCUUCUCAGUAGGUUGUUUUCUUAAAGAAGUUAAUGCGACUAUCCUAACUUUAAUUCCCAAGGUGCCGAAUGCUUGUGAAGUAAACGACUUCAGACUGAUUGCUUGCUGCAACACUAUCUAUAAACUUAUCACCAAGAUCUUGGCCAAUAGAAUUGCGCUUGUACUUCAGGACAUUGUUAGUCCGUCCCAGAAUGUGUUUGUGAAGGGUAGAAGGAUAAGGGAUGAUAUCUUAUUGGCUCAAGAGCUGUUUGCAGGCUUCCACUUAGACCCAUACCUCCCAAGAUGUGCAGUCAAAGUGGAUUUUCGCAAGGCUUAUGACACGGUGGACUGGGAUUUCCUAGAGCUUACCCUUACUGCCUUCCGGUUUCCUCUGUGGAUUAUUCACCGGAUUAUGGCUUGUGUACGCACACCUAGAUUCUCUAUCUCUAUUAAUGUGGAGCUUCAUGGCUUCUUCCCAGGAGGCAGAGGCCUUAGGCAGGGCGACCUAAUGUCACCUUAUCUAUUUACAUUGAUCAUGGAAAUAUUCUCGAGAAUUUUGAACCAAAGGUCUUCGGCUAAAGAGUUCAAAUGUUAUUGGAGAUGUAAGUCUCCCAAGCUCACUCAUCUGUUUUUUGCAGACGAUGUGUUCCUUUUUUGCCAAGCAGAUUGGAAAUCGGCUGUGAUCCUUAAAAGAAGCCUCGACAUUUUCUCUUCAUGGAGUGGUCUUCUCCCCAACAAAAAUAAGAGCGACAUCUUUCUUUCGGGAGGCGAUCCUGCUUUGUGCAACAAAAUCCUCUUAGCAUUUGGCUUUCAGGAAGGUAAACUUCCGAUUCGAUAUCUUGGAGUGCCGAUAAUCUCAAAGAGGUUGACUAAGGUUGACUGUACUCAGUUAAUUGACCGCAUUACCGCGCGUGCCCGCUCCUGGUCCCACAGGUUCCUCUCUUUUGUUGGAAGACUUCAACUCAUAAGGUCAGUGCUUCACGCUAUUCAGUCUUUUUGGGCUAGUGUCUUCACUUUGCCCUCUUCGGUUAUCUUGGGGAUUGAAAGCAUUCUUCGUAGAUUUCUUUGGAAAGGCACCUCCUUGGAUAAGGGAGGUGCAAAAGUCUCAUGGGCGGAUGUUUGUUUGCCUAAGGAGGAAGGGGGCCUGGGUAUUUGGUCUAUCAAGGACUGUAACAAAGCCUCAAUGCUGAAAUUUAUUUGGAUCCUCUUUACGAAUAAGGAAUCUCUGUGGUGCCGUUGGAUACACUCCAACUUUUUAAAGAAACAUAACUUCUGGGUUGCCCCUCAGCCUUCGGUUUGUGCCUGGAGUUGGAAGAAGAUCCUUCAUCUUCGGGGCUGUUGUAGACAAUCCUUCGGUUGGGAGGUCGGUGACGGCCGGUCUACUUCAUUGUGGUUCGAUAGCUGGUUGCCUUGUGGCCCUCUUCAUCUUCAAGUUCCUCAAUCUUUUUUGUUGGACCCUGACGUUCCUGCAAAGGCGACUGUCGCUUCUUUAUAUUCUUAUGCUGGUAGAUCCUGUAAAGUCCGGUUAGAGAAUUGUGGCUUCUCGCUUCCUCCUCUUUUGGUUGAUAGCGAUCGUUUUGUGUGGCGUCAUGAUUCUUCGGGGGCCUUCUCCGUAGCUUUUGCUUGGAACGUCAUUAGAGCUUCUAAAGCCAAAGCACCUUGGACUUCUUUUGUGUGGGAUAAGGAUGUAGCCCCUCGAUUUCAAUUCCUUUUGUGGCUUAUUACUAAGAACCGCUUGCCAACGCAGUCACUUCUCCUCUCAUAUGGAAGGAUUGAUUACUCGGCUUGCACUUUUUGUAAUCCUCAGCCGGACUCGACCAACCAUUUGUACUUUGAUUGCAAUAUUUCAAAUACCAUUAUCUACUUUUGGGCAACUAGGUGCAAUUUGCCGUGGAGGAACGGCACUUGGGCGGAAAACCUUGCUUGGGCUAUGAAAUUCCUUGCUGGUAAGGAAUUCUCUCACAGUCUUUCCCGCUAUUCCUUUGGAGCUCUUUGCUAUCUAAUUUGGAAGAAGAGAAAUGCUAUGAUUUUCCGAGGGGAAUCUCUUGAUAUUCCCGCUUUGAAGAACCAUUUGAUAAAGAUGGUUAAAGAUAAAGCAAUUACCUACAAGGAUGUCCCUAACAAUCCAAGGAAUCGGCGUCUUCAGAGGGGUUGGAAUCUCGACCCUAGUACCUUCACGUAACCCUUUGGGUUUUUAUCAUUUGAUCUUGCUUGGUCGUCUCCGGUGCGGAUGUUCUGGCUCACGGAUUCCCAGGCGUCCAUGGAGGUCUGAUGGCUGAAUCUGGUGGUCGUGUUGUGUCUGUUGUUUGCACUCUUUCUGUCCUUGCCUCUUGAGGCUUUUGCGCGGCUCCCUUCCACUCUUUUGUUUGCUUUGAGAGUGUAAGUUUUGGUGCCGUUUGUGUACAUUUGUCCUUAGCUUUUCAAUAUAUUCUUACCUUUACCAAUAUAUAUAUAUAUAUAUAUAUAUAUAUAUAUAUAUAUAUUCAUUUACCUGUGUUUUUAGCUUAUAUCUCUAUAGUAGAAUAAUUACCGUAAAAAGGACAAGAGAAGUACCAUAAUUUUCAUACAACACGUUCUUUAAUGUCAAAAGUUUUCGAGCAAUCACUUAUAUGUGAAAAAAAUUACUUCAAUACCAUUGCUGAUUUGAAUUGUUGAAAAUUCAGAUGAGGUAAUUUUUUAAUAUAAAUAGUUUGACGUGGCUCACUGGUAAAGUGAACUCAAUAUUAUCUUACCUAAAUGACGUCGUCUAACUCAUGUUCACCUCAAAUUGACAAAUUGGGAAUGCACUAAGUCUCUUCUUCUUACCCUAAACUCGUAUCCAAGGAAUUAGGAGCAAAAUUACCAUAUAAAACUUGCAAUGGAGAGCAAGAGUAGGAAAAAUGACUCAAGAUCAUGUUAAUCAAUUGAUGAUGAAGGUGAAUAUUAUUGCAAUUGUGGGCAUAAAAGUGAAAGCAUAUAGAACACUUCAACUGCGGAUACCCAAAGCUUUAACCUUUCACAACCACUUUCGUAUCUUUUCCCUUUUUCCUUUAACCAUUUGCUUUUCCCAUUGCUAGUUGGUAUUUUCUUUUGAAAAAUCAUAUUCUUUUUUUCAAAUUUGUGGGCAUGUUCUUUGUCCGUGAUGCUCAAUCGUUAGAUUGUGUUGCAAUUGAUUCUUUUAUGCGGGAACAAGAGAACUAGGGUUUUCAUUACAAUAAAACCUGCAAAUAGCAAUACAUGAGUUUCUACGUAUUAGUUUCCAGGAUUAGACCCAUUCGUGUGGAGCUAAGUGGACUGCUUUUUCCUCAUGCCAUUGGAUUUUCUCCUUGCUAGUUGGUGAAUUCUUUUGAAAAGUUAUGUUCUCUUCAAUUUUGUGGGUAUCUUCUUAAUUGGUGAUGCUUAAUCAUCAGAUUGUGUUGCAAUUGACUCUUUUAUGUGGGAAUAAGAGAACUGAGGUUUUCAUGACAACAAAACCUGCAAAUAGCAAUUCAUAAAUUUUUGUGUAUUAGUUUUCAAGAUUAGAGUAAUUCGUGUGGAGCUAAUGCGACCCAUUUUUGUGCUUUUAGCCGUGAUAGCCCCUCUAGCACCGAGCCAUAAUUUUAUCUCUCUAAGCUCUUGCCCUGUCCCCCGCCUUCACUAUUUAUGCAAUAUGAAUGGGGAGGGGGGAGGGAUGGUAAGGGUGAUCGGUUCCCAAGUGGACCGGCUAAUUUAGAAUCAGGAACUGACCCCUUAAUUCUCGGAUCCAAAAUUCUAGAAUUGGGAAUUGAAUUAGCCUAUUCCAACCCAAUUUCUGAGUUACCUAUGAACUGAUAGAAGCAUAUAGAUCCACUCAGUAUUGAUUUUUUUUAUAUUUUAUUUUGGUCUAUAUAAAUAUUCAUUUACCUGUGUUUUUAGCUUAUAUCUCUAUAGUAGAAUAAUUAGCGUAAAAAGGACAAGAGAAGUACCAUAAUUUUCAUACAACACGUUCUUUAAUGUCAAAAGUUUUCAAGCAAUCACUUAUAUGUGAAAAAAAAUUACUUCAAUACAAUUGCUGAUUUGAAUUGUUGAAAAUUCAAAUGAGGUAAUUUUUUAAUAUAAAUAGUUUGACGUGGCUCACCGGUAAAGUGAACUCAAUAUUAUUUGACCUAAAUGAUGUCGUUUAACUCAUGUUCACCUCAAAUUGACAAAUUGGGAAUGCACUGAGUCUCUUCUUCUUACCCUAAACUCGUAUCCAAGGAAUUAUGAGAAAAAUUACCAUAUGAAACUUGCAAUGGAGAACAAGAGUAGGAAAAAUGACUCAAGAUCAUGUCAAUCAAUUGAUGAUGAAGGUGAAUAUUAUUGCAAUUGUGGGCAUAAAAGUGAAAGCAUAGAGAACACUUCACUUGUGGAUACCCAAAGCUUUAACCUUUCACGACCACUUUAGUAUCUUUUCGCUUUUUCCUCUAACCGUUUGUUUUUCUCAUUGCUAGUUGGUGUUUUCUUUUGAAAAGUCAUAUUCUUUUUUUCAAAUUUGUGGGCAUAUUCUUUGUCCGUGAUGCUCAAUCAUCAGAUUGUGUUGCAAUUGAUUCUUUUAUACAGGAACAAGAGAACUAGGGUUUUCAGGACUAUAAAACCUGCAAAUAGCAAUACAUAAGUUUCUGCGUAUUAGUUUCCAGGAUUAGACUUGUUCGUAUGGAGCUAAGUGGACUGCUUUUUCCUCACGCCAUUGGAUUUUCUCCUUGCUAGUUGGUGAAUUCAUUUGAAAAGUUAUGUUCUCUUCAAUUUUGUUGGUAUCUUCUUAAUUGGUGAUGCUUAAUUGUCAGAUUGUGUUGCAAUUGACUCUUUUAUGUGGGAAGAAGAGAACCGAUGUUUUCAUGAUAGCAAAACUUGCAAAUAGCAAUUCAUAAAUUUCUGUGUGUUAGUUUUCAGGAUUAGAGUAACUCGUGUAGAGCUAAUGUGUGACAUCCUGAAAUUCGACCCCGUUUCGAUAAAGUGAAAUGGGCACGUCGUCGACGUGCCUAUGGUCCUUUUUCUCUGAGCUGAUCACUCAUGAGUUAACUAACCUAUUGGGUGAAGCCGUUAAGAGAUGUAUCUACAGUAAAAUCUCUAAAAGCUACUCAAUUGGUUAGAUUGGACUAAAAUCGCGUCUGAUCGAUUCUAACCAUGAAAUUUAAAUUGGUUUCGGGAAUCGAAUAUUCGAGCGUGUCACAAUUCAUUUUUAGGACCGUCUCAUCGUCUGUCAAUUUAUUGAUGAAUCCGAAAUUUCAAGAAAGAAAUUAUCGGAUGAAAAAUUGAAGACCAAAAGAAAAUAGAAAGGGAAAGGAAAAGAGAAAAGAAAAAUAAGAAUAAGACUAAUAUUUUAUUUCUUUUUCUCUCUCUCCCUUUUCUCUCUUUUUCUCUCUCUCUUCUCUCUCCUCUCCUCUCCCCCUUCGUGUGCACCCCCUCCACCGAACACUUCCCCUAGCCAAUUUGAAAUUGGCUUCUCUUCUCUCUCUCUCUCUCUCUCUCUCUCUUCUUUUUCUUUUGACUAGUCAAACCCCUCCUCUUCUCUCUCUUAUCUUCUUCUCUCUCCUCUCUCCUUCUCUCUCGAUGCGCUCUCUCUCUCUCAGUACUCUCUCUCCCCCUCACCGUUCGAACGAAGACAGAGGCAGAAAACAGAAGCAGCAACGCCGAGAGAAGAGGAAGAUCGGAGCAGCUUGUUGUCGCCGCCCGUGCUCUGCCGCUCACCGCCUGCCUUCACCUCUCCCUCACAUCCCUCAGCCGUCACUGCCCUUCUUCUUCUCCUUUCUGGUUUGUGCGAAGACAGAAGCGGAUCGAAGCAGAAGCAGCAACCAGCCACUAUUGCCGCUCGUCUCACCGCCCGCGCCCGCGCCCGCGCGUCCGCCGCUCGCCGCGCACUCUGCCACCACCCAUUCGCGCCUCGUCGUCCCCGCCAUGCGCCGUCCAGGCCGUUCGGCCUCUGUCCAGCUCGGCCUGACCACCUCCGGCCACCGCCCGGCCUUCCUGGCGUCCCCCUCACCCUCCGCCAGCCUCCCCUCGCCGUCUUGGCCACCGGAACAGCUCCGGCCAGCCAAGGGCAGCAACCCAUGGAGUGGGUUUCCAGCCCCCAUUGGGGCUCGUUUUGGGUUGUUUUCAGGACUCAAACCCGAGGCCCACUUUGGAGUUUAUCGUUCCUCGCGUCGUCCCCGUCGGAUUGAUCCGACUUGCGCACGAUUCCGAUGAGUAAUCUCACUAAUCCUCGCUGAGUAGACUAAUGAUGCUUAAGGGUUUAUUAGUUUUAAUUAAUUAAGUUUGGGUGGUUAGAUUAGUAUGAAUUAGUGUUUAUUAGUCAAUUGUGAUGCGAAUUAGAUAAAUUGAGAAUGUAUUUAGCAAGUAGACGUGGUCUAUUAUUUAUUAAGGGUAGCUCGGGAUUUUUUCGACCCCUAAUCGGGCUUCAAUUUGACAACUCGGGCCUAAGUGAAGUUUUUGGUAUUUAAAUAUUAUUUUUCGGAAUUAAUUUAAUUAAUUAUUUUUUUUUUGAAAAUUCAACUGGGAUGGCCAUUGACCGGAAUAUUAUGCUGAUGACCGUGGUGAAGUCUAUUUAUUUAAUUGGGCUUUAUUUAAAGCUAAAUUGAAUUUUUAAUAUUAAUUAUUUAUUUUUCCGAAAUUAAGGUUGAGAUGGCCGGUGAUCGAAAUUUUAUGCUGAUGAUCGUGGUGUAGCCCGUUUAUUUAAAUGGGCUUUAUUUUGAGCUAAAUUGGAUUUAUUGUAAUUAAUUAUUAAUUUUCGAAAUUAAUUAAUUAAUUAAUUAUUUUUGGGAAAUUAAGGCUUGGUUAGCUGACGACCGAAAUUUCGUGAUGAUCAUCAUGGUGCAGUCUAUUUAUUUAAUUGAGCUUUAUUUUGUGCUGAAAUAAAUUAAUUGUGAUUAUAAUAUGAUUUUCCUAGAUUAAUUAAUUUGGAUAAUUAAUUGGAAAAUAACCGGGUGUCGGUUGACAGCACCAAAAGUGUUUUGGUGGAUGCAAAUAAUGGUGGGAUUUGUGGAAACGAAAUUAUUAUAUUUUGGCUAAGGCCAAUCGUGUAUCCACGCACGAUAUUUUAUCAAUGAUGAUAAAAGAUGAGAAGAAAUGCUGUGUGAUGUGGCUCGGCGAUUAUUACAUCUCUUUGGUAUGUAGGAUGCCUUAGAGAAUGCAUGUAAAUUGUUGAAUAUUGAUCAUGCCUGUGUGGCGAUAAUUGAUCAUGCUUGUGUGAUGAUAAUUAAUCAUGCUUGUGUGGCGUAGAUUGUGCCUGCAUGGCCGUAUUUUUUUUUUUUUUUUGUCGAGUAUCGUGCUAGUGUAGCUAAAGGUAAUUGGAAUGCCUAAGAGCAUGCACAUAAAGUGUUUAUCGUACAUCACCUUGACGAAUAGACGCCCGAGAGCAUUACUGUAGCUCUGAAACUGAGUGUACUAUUGGAGAUUAUAUAGUGUGGAGCGAAAUGACCUAGAAAUGGUCCAACUGACAUGUAAUGGACUAGGUCGAUUGAUCAUUGCUUUGAUUUAAUAUCAUAAUCGGAUUGAUUGAACUGAGAUGACCGAUGAAUGGUCAGAUUGACGUGUGAUUGAUUGGGUCGAUUUAUCGAAAUAUCGAUCUAUGAUGUGAUUGCUUGGGUGCCUAUUGAACUGUGCUAAUAUGCAGGUGGAAUCUGAGGCCAAGGUAAGUCCUCUGACCUAUGUGUGCAUAGGUUGCCCGGUUAGCGUAUUGGUUUCCUAAUCGAGUCUUGGUGGGGUAGAAUUCGCUGAGAUGUAGCCUCAUCCCGGUUUGGGGAAAACAUUUCAGGACCCUGAUGAGGAGCUGAGAAGGAAUUUGAGAAGGAGUACUCUGAGGUGAAACCUAAGAAGAAGGAUUUUUGGAAAAAGAAGAUAAUACCGAGGGGCCUUGAGUACGAUCUGGAUGGACUGAGAUUCCAUCUUCUUUUGUAAACUCCAUUUUGAUGUGAAUAGAGUUAGAGUAAAAAGUUGUGAAUAGUUGUGAGUUACUCUGGUUUGUGUUUUGUAUAAAAGUUUGGUUAUAAGUUUCAAUAUGAAAAAUAUGGCAUUACUUUUCUAUCCCAUCGAUUUACUGGGGAUUUAUAACUGCUUCCACAUGUGUUUAAUAAAUGAAAGGGUUGGCGAUACAUAGUCCUUGGGUAUCGCAUUAUAAAAUCGACCAGAUGAGAAGGAUGUGUGCGUGCCUGAGGAUUGGGGCGUGACAUAAUGCGACCCAUUUUGUGCUUUUAGCCGUGAUAGCCCCUCUAGCACAGAGCCAUAAUUUUAUCCCUCUAAGCUCUCGCCUUGUCCCCCGCCAUCACUAUUUCUGCAAUAUGAAGGGGGGGGGGGGGAGGGAGGGUAAGGGUGAUCGGUUCCCAAGUGGGCCGGUUCCUGAUUUAGAAUCAGGACUAACCCUUUAAUUCUCGGAUCCAAAGUUUUAGAAUUGGGAAUCGACCUAUUCCAACCUGAUUUCUGAGUUACCUAUGAACUAAUAGAAGCAUAUAGAUCCACUCAAUAUUGAUUUUUUUUUUUUAAUUUUGGUCUAUAUAAAUAUUAAUUUACCUGUGUUUUUAGCUUAUAUCUCUAUAGUAGAAUAAUUAGUGUAAAGAGGACAAGAGAAGUACCAUAAUAUUCAUAUAACACGUUCUUUAAUGUCAACAUUUUUCGAGCAAUCACUUAUAUGUGAAAAAAAUUACUUCAAUACCAUUGCUGAUUUGAAUUGUUGAAAAUUCAGAUGAGGUAAUUUUUUUUUUUUUAUACAAAUAGUUUGACGUGGCUUACCGGUAAAGUGAACUCAAUAUUAUUUGACCUAAAUGACGUCGUCUAACUCGUGUUCACCUCAAAUUGACAAAUUGGGAAUGCACUGAGUCUCUUCUUCUUACCCUAAACUCGUAUCCAAGGAAUUAGGAGCAAAAUUACCAUAUGAAACUUGCAUUGGAUAACAAGAGUAGGAAAAAUGACUCAAGAUCAUGUCAAUCUAUUGAUGAUGAAGGUGAAUAUUAUUGCAAUUGUGGGCAUAAAAGUGAAAGCGUAGAGAACACUUCAACUAUGGAUACCCAAAGCUUUAACCUUUCACUACUACUUUCAUAUUUUUUCGCUUUUUCCUCUAACCAUUUGCUUUUCUCAUUGCUAGUUGAUGUUUUCUUUUGAAAAGUCAUAUUCUUUUUUUCAAAUUUGUGGGCAUGUUCUUUGUCCGUGAUGUUCAAUCGUCAGAUUGUGUUGCAAUUGAUUCUUUUAUGUGGGAACAAGAGAACUAGGGUUUUCAUGACAAUAAAACCUGCAAAUAGCAAUACAUAAGUUUAUGCAUAUUAGUUUCCAGGAUUAGACCCGUUCGUGUGGAGCUAAUGCGAACCAUUUUAUGCUUUUAGCCACGAUAGUCCCUCUAGCACCGAACCAUAAUUUUUUUCCCUCUAAACUCUCGCCUUUUCCCACACCUACAUUAUGCCUGCAGUGUGAAAAAAGGGAAGAUAGAGAUAUCUUUAUUUAUAAGUGGCGUUGUUUUGUCAAGAAGAGCCUAACCAUUGCCACGUUGAGCUGCCUUUUUUUUUUUUUUUUUUAAUAUCAUAAGAAAAGCUACAUGAGAAUAAAAUUUUUAUUAAAAAAGUCACUUGGGAUGAAUUUCCAGAAUUUAUCGCCGGAGGCAAAUGAUUAUUUUGCUGCGGCACUCAAGUGAUCGCUCGAAAAUUUUUGGCAUGAAAUGAGUGUUAUACAAAAGUUAUGCUACUUCUAGUGACAUUUUCAUUAGAAAUUAAAACUUAUUUAGAGUUGUAUUGAGUUGAUUUUCGUGUUUUUUUUCCUAAUUUACAAAUUUAAUUAACAAAGUAAGAAACAAGAUUUAGAUUAUAAGUGCAUAUUUCUAUAAAUAAUUUUUUAUCUUUCUAGUUGUCCUUAUGAAAACACUGAUAUUUAAAAUAGUAAGAAUAUAACCAGAUACAACUGUAGAUGAGAUAACUACUUUUACUAUUACAAAAAUUAUGAGCUAAUUUACACAUAAAUAGAAUUAUUAUAACAAAGAUUGAUUUGAUUUUGCUAUGAAAAAUUGAGGAGUUAUACUAAACAAAUUCAAAGUUUAGGAACUACAUUAGAUAUUUAGAAAUUGUUCAUGUACCACAUUAAAUGAAUUAAAUUUUCAAUAAUAACAUUGAACAUAGGGCCAAAAUAUGGGAACUAGAAGUGUCAGUUUCUUAAACUGAACUACGGAAUAAUUUGUCCAUAGCUACUAAAAUUUAGUAUGUGAUAGUACUAGAAAUGAAGGAUGAUACUUUACAUAAUUACCAAAGCUUGCUGCAUAAGGCCUAUAUAAAUAUCUGGGACGUGAUUCCAUUUUGCUUAUUUGCAUUAAAGCUACGCAAAGAAUAGGAUCAGUUGAAACGACUCAACUCUAAAAGGAGCCAUGUGCGAGAAUUUAUUCACCACUAAGUUAAGCCCUUUAACGUGUUAUAAAAUGGCAACCGCGAGGGACGCCCAACUCGCGGCUUCGGUUCAUCUUUCGUUGUAUAAACAAGUUGGGUAGGGAGUUGCGAUUAACGAACGCUCGACCGCUGUCGACAUUGCCUUUAGAUCGUUGAAGAAGCAAGUUUUCAUAUUGAAAGGUAAUGUAAUUUUUUAUUUAUUUAAUGAUUAAUAUUUUCUUUCCUCUUUCAUUUGCUAUUGGCUAAUAUUUCCUUUGUUAAUGUCAAUCGUCUUCAAUCUUGAUGCUGGACCACACGCUUUUCAUUAUAUUAUUUCUUAAUUGGUUCACUCUUAUUCAAAGAUGUUACUAGCAUAUCAAUAUGAUAGGUUUUGUUUCCUACUGCAUUAGGACUACCGCUCUUUCUCUAGGCAGCCCAAAGUGCGCCUUCUUUUAAUUUGCACUUUGCACGACAUCGCCCGUGAGCGGCAUAUAUCCAUUGCACUUUUUGAGGGCGAACCUCUAAUUUACUCUAUGAUUCUUUUUUCUUUUUUCUUUUUUGAGGAUUUUGUGGUUGAGCACUCGUAGUCUUUUGCUUGUCUCUUUUUGAAGAGUAGGUACCUUGGGCUGAAUCACCAUGCAAAUCUAUGGCGUCUUAUUAAUUUCGAGAACAUUAUUAAAAAAAUCUUAAAUCUAUUACAUUUUUGCCAAUUAAGUUUUAAACCUUUUAAGUUUGCUAAUUCAAUUAUAAACCUUUUAAUUUCUUGUCAAUUGAAUCUAUCCGGCCAAUUUAGGCAUGAAAAUGCUGACAUGGACACCGGCACAGGACUGUCGGCACUGACAUAGAUAAUUUUUAAUAAUAUUUUAAUUUUUUAUUAAUUUUCAACAUUGUUUUUUUUCAUUUCAUUUCUUUCUUUUCUUUUUGGCCACCUUCUUUUACUUUUCCAAAGGCUGGCCGAUUGGCCUCGCAUAGGCCAGGCAAGGGCCUAAGUAGCACCAACAUGCGACACAUCAUUUCUCAAAAAUAAAAAAAUCUGACAUAUUGUAUAUUAAAUGAAUAUUUUUAUUUUUAAUUAAUUUGAUUCAAAUUCAUAAAUAAAUAAAUAAUAAAAAGAGUCUACAAUGAAUUUACACUAAUAAUAUUAAUAAAUCUAUUCAUAGGAAAUUCAAAAGACAUAUUCAUAGUUAAUGCGAUGUUUGGAGAUAUGUUUCUAACUUUAACAAAAGCUGUUGAUGAAAUUAAUGACUAACAUCAAAUUAGAAUUUACUUAUUUAAAUAAAUCUAUGAUCUUCUACAAUGAAAAAAAAUUAUCAUUAUUUAACAUUUGGUGCUUUUGUUUUCCAAAAUCACUUUUUAGCCUCAUUUAUUAUUUCUGAUAAAAAUAAAUAAAAAAAUUUAAAAAAAAUACUCCAUCGGUUCCUAGAAGAUGCCUACAUUUUCUUUUAUUCAUUUUUGCCCUUCUCCUCUCUCUCUCUCUCUCUCUCUCUCUCUCUCUCUCUCUCUCUCUCUCUCUCUCUCUCUCUCUCUCUCUCUCUCUCUCUCUCUCUCUCUCUCUCUCUCUCCGUACUUUAUAUUUUUUUUGCCUAGAUAUUGAAUUGCAAGUUCAAAGAAGUACAAAAAAGGGCCGUUGGAAAGGAAUUUUUCAAAAUAGUAUGAAUGUGAUGAAUUUCCCUCAUUUCUUUCCCCCAAAAAUUUAUUUUCCUCGUUUCUUUCCCCGACCCCUGUCAAGCCAGCCGCCGCCCCCCAAAAAAGAUAAAAACUUCUUACCAUCAUUUCUUCCCCCCCAAAAAAUUAUCUCCAUUGUUUCGUUCCCCAAAGCCCCCACCCCUAUUAGGUUGCCAUUGCCUUUCUUGAAAAUUGUAUGCCCAAUCCCAUCAAAAUCCCUAUUUUUAAUUUGUUUUCUACUCUUCUUUCUAAAGCCUAAAACUAAAAGAGGAAGAAACUCUAAAACCUAGCCACCGCUGCCACCACCUCCUCCUCCUCCUCCUCACACGACCCUCUUCCUCUCGAUCUCUGCUCUCUCUUGGUGCCCUCACAAUCGCUCGCCUCCGGCCCUUCCUCCUUUGUAGCUAUAGCCUCACCUUCGGCCCUCCAUCACAGGAUCAUAGUGACGACUCUCUGGGUUCUUGUGGUCUCUACUCUUCCUCUAGCCUUCCCCUUGCAGUUGCGGCCUAGCCAUCGCUCGCGGCCUCGUCAUCACUCAUGGCCUCGCCGUCGCUCACGGCCUCACCUCUCCUUGGGCCUCGCCUCCACCCUCCAUCGUCUUCUUCAACGAUUAUUCCUUCUCACUUGUAGACCCACCUUGAAACCAACCAUGCCUCUUGCAGUUCCGGACACACGUGUUGGAACGUGUCAAGAAGAAUUGACCAUGUGUCAGAAAAUCCGACACACAUUGACCAUGUGUCUGGGCAUGCCAAACACGUCAACACAUGUUGAACAUGACAUGGAAGCUCAUCCAACAUGUCCAUACUUCAUAAGCGAGGGCUACCCUCGCCCAAGCAAGGGUGGCCUCAUCGCACGUCAGUUGGGCGAGGGAAGCCCUCACCAAGGCUUGCCCAAAGCAAAUUAGGUGAGGCCUCGCCUAGGCGAGUAUCGGCCUCGCCCAGACCAAAUCUGGCAAGGGUGGCCUUACCCCAGGCCAGGGCAACCUCGCCAAGCAUCGUCCGGGUGAGGGUCAACAAGCUGACCCUUGUUGGGCCGUCCAUAGGUGAGGGCUCCCCUUGCUUGGGCUUGCCCUCGCCCGAUCGGGCCUCCCCUAUGGCAGGAAAGGCCAAAUGGCCAUCCAUGGUCGAUGGCCGAUGGCUGGCUACUAGAAAAGGAAAAGAAGAAAGUAAAAAAGAAACGAAUAAAAGAAUAAAAAUUUAAAAAAUAUUAAAAUAUUAUUAAGAAUUAUUUACGUUAUCGCCGGUGGUUCUACAUGGCAUUGUCGGUGUCCAAGUCAGCAUUUUCCAGCCAAAAAUAGCUGGACGGACUUAAUUGGUAAGAAAUGAAAAUAUUUAAUACUGAAUUGGGAAAGUUAAAAUGUUUAGAACUAAAUUGGCAAAGGUAUAAUAUGUUUAUGAUUUUUUGGAUAAUUUUCUCUAUUAAGUUCUUGGACCUAAAUUAUCAUAACGAAUCAUUUGUAGUUAUUCAUGCUUCGCGAUCUUGUGAAACAACUUUUAAACUAGAAAAUUCAUGUUUGGAUGCAUAUAAAAUUUAUCAGGACUAUAAUACUAUUAUAAAAAAUUAAAUGCGUUACUUCGUAUUUAAAUCAAUAUAAUGUCUCCUCACACAACCCUUGUUCCCUUGCAAUUACUACAUCAUUUUGCAUAGCUUAGUCUCGAUGGACGUAAAGGUAUCUAUAGGAGAGGAGGAGGGUGGCAUGAACACCUCGAUCAAGGUGGAGGUCCAGAAGGAUGAAGGAGGAGCUUCCCUGAAUAAUGCAUCGGCGACUGCGCGAACUACGGAGCAACAAGAUCCAGCAAAAGUGUAUGCAGCUGCUAGAAAACUGGCCGAUGUCAUCAAAGGCGCCAACGUCGAAGAUAUCAUUUCCACGAUCGAGACGCUUGCCUGUCAAGCUGAUUCGUCUGCCAUUUUCAAUUUCGGGAGGCUAUCGAGGGGUUCGCUGCUCCACAUUGCAGCAGCCACCGGCAAAAGCAACAUCCUAAGGCUCCUACUUGAUCGUGUCGAUGCCCACCUCAUAGCCGCCCAAGAUGAUUGGGGAAAUACCCCUCUCCACCUCGCCACUAAGGCCAAGGCAAUUGGAGUCAUCGAUAUGUUGAUUUGCCGGGCAAAAUACCUCCGCAAUGUCGAGGACAAGCCCCUCCUGAGGAUUAAGAACAGUCAUGGAAACACCGCUUUGCACGAGGCCGUGCUUACACGUGACGUUGACCUGGUGAGCCAUUUGUUGGGGGAAGAUUUGGAGACUGUGUACUGGGAGAACGUGGAUCAGAAAUCUCCCUUGUACCUGGCCCUCGACACUGGCAACCCCAAGAUACUUGAGGUUUUAUUAUCGAAAUCGCUCGACCCAUCGAAGAUACAAGGCUUGCCGCCCGUUUUUGGUGCCGUUGCACGUGAACAACAUGGUACGUACUAAAAUCUACUUACUGGAAAUGUCUAUUUAUGUGUGGAACGAACUCGUUUCAAAUCUGUGCAACCACUCUUUGUGCUUACCCAAAUCUGUUAUGGGUGUUCAAAUAAAAUUCCAAACCUUGCUUAUUAGAGUAGUUGAGUCCCCAUGAGUAGUUGCAACUAGCCAUACGAUUCUCUUAAUAAUUUGUUUUCUCCCACUAGAACAUAAUAGAUCGGCUCAAAUACAUUCCAGACCCUAUAGGAAUUCAAGCAUUUGACCCCAAGUCUGUCCCAUUUCUCCAAUGGAAUUGGGCAUAGGGAGGGGUUGGGCGGAGCAUCCAUUGAACCCACACUUCUUUAUUUAUCUUUAAAAUAAUCAUAAUUUGAUCUAGUAUAUAUGUCUAGUAAAGUUUCAACAUAAUUAUCCUAUUUUUAGUUUAUCAUAAAGAUAUAUCAUUUUAGUUAUUGUAUAGUUAUAUAAUUGUAAUAAUGAAUCAAUAUGAUGUUAAAUGAACAUUCAUCCAUGUAAUAAAAUAAGAGAAAUGAUUGGAUGACUGUCUUUAAUUUACUGUGAGAAUAAUAUUACAUUAUAAAUCAUAAAAAAAAAAAAUAAGUAAUUAUAAAUUGUCACGAGUGUACUCCUUCAAGAAUUUGUGGCUUAUAAUAUGCUGUUACUCUCACAAUCAUCCAGUAAAGCUUAUAAAAUAAUACAUGUUCCAAUUUAAAUCUUGAAUUUGCAGAUUUAGUGAAUAAUUAUGAUAUCUUUACUUAUUUCUCAUGAAAAUCUACUUUUUGGGCAUUACGUGUAGUUAAAUUACGUUUUGAAAAAAAUCUUAUACCAGGCCUGCGUAAAUUCUGCCCUGUAUCUUUCUGCCUCGACCGGGAAAAUUUGUCGGUUUGGGGCAAGGCACCUCAGGGAGAUGCCCCCAUUCGACCAACAUAUACGUAGAUACACGCUUUCACCUAAUAAUAAUUAUACAUUUUCAGAUUAUUCAGAUUGACAUAUAAUAUAGUUUCUUCAGCCAUGUUGAUAACACAUCCCAAGUUAUGCAAGUUAAAACUAACCUUGCAGUCUCUUUUGCUCUAUGCACCUAAUUUUGUGUCCAAUCGUAUUUUCAUUUUGGACAUGCAUUAGAAAUCCCAAAAAAAUGAAAAUACAGAAGGUCCUCAUAUUUACUAAAUCCCCACAUUGCUUCAAAGUAAAUAAAUCUUAAAUUUAAUAGAGAAUUAUUAGGUGCGGAUUAUUUCUAUAGAAUUUGUACUUAUUACACAUGUCCGUACGCAAAUAAGAACAUUACAUGUGUAUUUGAUUUUUGAGAAUGAGAUUGUCACAUAUCAUACAGAAUGUAAAAGGUCAAGAUUGCCAAAGUACAAAGAUUCAUGAACUAAGUAGGUAUUGAAAUUCGACAUAAAAUUAAAUUCCUGUUUAGGAAAAAUUCAUCCAUCUUCACAAUUGUCCACAUCAAUGUGGUGCCUAAAAAUUCAUUCAAAGCUUUUAUGCCUUUUAUAUUAUUUUACGAUAUUAAUGGGCAAACUUUUAAAUUCGCAAAACACAGAAGCUCUCGAGUUAUAUGUGAAGAUUAUAUGUAUGUGUGUGUAAUGGUUGCGCCACAUUCUCUGAGCUGGGUGGAUUCCACUCGACUCUAACAUAAAUUUUGCUUAGUUUCUGCUCACAAGGGUUGGUAAAUACGCAAUUUCUAAUUGAGUUUAAUAGGUGACUACCUUUACGAAGAAUAUGACAUUUGCUUUAUACUUGCCAGAAAUGGACGAAGAAGAUGCCAUUUGCUUUAUGCUUCCCUUUUCUUGAUCUUGGCCUAGCUAUCUAAAUCUCGUUUGCUUUUUUUUUUUAGUAAACAUUAUAUCUGCGGACUCUAUAGAUACUUCAUAACAUGGAAAUGUCAUAUAAUUGCCAUGUCAUUUAGUAAGAUUUUUACAGUAAAAUCUUAGUACAUGUCAAUGUCGCAUUGCUUUGGAUGAAAAUGGUCUGAAAUUUGUCUAAAGUCUCUCCAAAGUAUGUAAACAGGAUCCUUUAGAAAUUUAUCUAAAGUCUCACAGGUCAUGUUCCAUCAUCCUAGAGAAGGAAAGUCGAAAUGCUUUGAGAUUCACAGCUUGAAGAGUCAUUAUUUUUUGAACCGAAAAUGUGUUAGAUAAACCUUUCAAAGCCUUGAUUUAUUCAAUCAAAAUUAUCACCACUAGUUUCAUCAUUGCAAUCUAAUCCCACAUCAGCGACUAUGAAUCAUAAGAGUGAUUAAGGUUACGUCGAAGAUGUCCUUAUCCCAAAAUGGGUCAUGAUACAUCGAAACCAACCAAGCCCCAGCUAGUGUCAAAUGUUUGUGCGGAUGGUGAUCCCUAAUUUGGAGAGCCUGAUUCCAGAUUUACUCGGCGAGAUACUCAAAAAGAACGUGAAGAUUUUUGCAAUGACAGACUCCAAAGGCGGUAAUGUAUUCCAUCUAGCAGCUUUCUGGAAUGUGACCCGAGUAUUUGACCUCUUACAACCAGAAACUGAAUAUUUGGCUCGAGAACAAGACAAAAAUGGGGAUCUUCCCAUUCAUAUUGCGAGCAAGAUGGGUCAUGUUGAACUAAUCAAUAAGCUACAUCCGGUGUCACAGUGGGUAAAUGGGAAAGGACAAACCGUUCUUCAUGUGGCAGCAAAAUACGGAAGAGAAGAAGUAGUGAGAUCUAUACUCAAACAUCCGGAUCUGAGGGAGAUGAUAAAUGAAAGAGACCAUGAUGGAAAUACACCUUCACACUUGGCAGCGAAGAAUUUACAACCCGCCGCUUUGGUUCAUCUUGUCCUGGACAAAAGAAUGAACCCCUCCCUUCUCAACCACGAAGGCUUGGCUGUUGUCGACAGUGCUCCAAAUGACUCACCAACAGCCACUAUGUUACGGUUGGUAAGUAACAUGAACAGCCACUAUUUUAUUUAUCAGCUUAUUGGGAAUUUCCCUAGACCUUAGGCACAGAUCUCGUAUUCAAGUCAUUAGUCUCGUAGUCAACGGGAUUGAGUGUCAACUGAAUUUCUAGAAUAGCCAAGACUCCUCUGGGAUUAAUAUUGCACAAGUCUCUAAUUUAGCCUUAAUAGGAAGUACUGAAAUUUUUCCCAUGAAUAUGUCCGGGGUUAGAAGCAACUGAAUAUCUCUGACAAAUGCUGAGAUAAUUUGCUACAUGUCUCGAUUAAUUGAGCCUAUAAAUAAGAUCAGGGGUUGUCAAUGUUGCAAUCUCCUUUUUUGUAAAACGGCCAGGGGUCAAGGCGGCAAAUUUGACCCCUCUAAACAUGGCAUAAUCUCGUUACAUUAUCGGUAAGUCAACCCAUGACAAAGGUGAACCAUAUACGUUUCAUUCGUGCCUCUUUUCUCAUUUGCAAUGAACUUGUUACUAUAGUGUUAAUUCUUCAAAAUGAGCAGACACUGCAUCUUUAAAAAUAACGGUUCCCCUUUAAAUGAGAAUUCCAGAGUCCGUUUCUGUUACCAAUUCGCUAACAAUUUGUUGUUUCUUUCCCUUCUCAUAUGUUUUCUGAUCUCAGGGCUUCGUACGCGCCCUGUUGAAGACCGUGUCAGCUAAGAGACCAGAUCGAUUCAUAGUUAAGCCAGAAGAUCGAGACAAAGUGUACACGGGCAGAAGUUUGUCAGAUCCUGCCAAUUUGAAAGAGGCUUUCAAUACCUUGUUGGUGGUGGCAGCGCUUGUGACCACUGUGACUUUCGCAGCUGGUUUCGCAGUUCCUGGAGGAUUGAACAGCUCAGACAUGGCAUCCAAAGAUGACAGGGGCAUGGCUACGAUGCUGGGCAAUAGAAAGUUCCAGGAAUUCGUGAUUUGCAACACCUUCGCGAUGUUCUGCUCAAUGACCUCGGUCGUUGUCUUCAUGUUAGCAUACCAGGCCGAAGGCAACAUAAUGGUAAGUAACUUCAAGCUUGCAAAAGAGCUACUAAAAAUGUCACUCCCGGCAAUGUCCUGCGCUUUCUUAAUUGGUGUCAACUUGACCGUUGGCAAACUCCCUUGGCUUGCCACCACGAUAUCAAUUAUCGGAUCUAUUUUCAUCUUCAUCAUCACAGGUUAUUUAUAUUGGUGGGGGUUUGUUGAAUUAUUAAUCUCUCGCAUCGUUAUCCCCUACCUUCCUCCUAUUAGUCCUCUGAUAUUCAGGUGUAUCCUCGGGUUCCUUAAUUUUGUACGAGUUGAGAGGACGCUCAUUUCGGAUGACUCAAAAGAAGACAGAACGGGGAGCAAGACCUCUGCUAGUCCGCCUCUGGGUGGUGGCGGUAAAGAUUGAUUUGCAGAAACAAAUAUAUAUUUGCCUCGGUGGAUUUGGCUUAUUCUAUAUUUGCUUUCCUAUUGCAUUACAUUAAUGAUGACCGUUGAAGUAUUUAAGUUCAACCAUCUCUUCCUUCAAUAGCUCAUAUUAUUAGAAUAGUUGGAUAUAAUUCCACAUAUAUCAAAGCAUAAGAUUCUUAAUUCAAACCUUUUCAGACCUCCUGCGUUGUAUAUUCUCAUAUGUUAGACUUGCGGCAAAGUCUGACCUACUUGCAAAGAGGAGUAUUAAAGUAUUUGAAUUAAAUUAUGCUUUUGGCUAAAUAGUUCAAGCUGUUAAAAUAACUACAUCGUAAUCUGAUGAAACAUUAUAAUGAUAUGUGUAUCAUGCGACAUGCUUCUCAGUUGAAUGGAUGAGUAGGUCAUUUCAUCUGUUUUACCGCUUGGAAAUCAAAUCUUUAAUUUUGAACAUGUAGAAGCUUGCCUCUUAUGAAAUCGCUUGUCUAGACUGCCUGCCGUCGUCCUUGUAUAGUAUACUCCAUUUUCCCCAGCGUCCCAGUUGAGCCCAACCACCAUGCCUCUGCUUUCAUUUUUUGUUUUCUGAGAUGGCAGCCGUUUGCCGUUUUGACGACUCUUCCAUGGCCGUCGGGAUAUCGACCUCACCAUUGAGACUCUCGGUGAUGGACCGGCUGUGCCGUCAGAUCUAUCGGCAUGGCUCUCGAUUUGGAAGCUUAACGUUCUCCAAGGCAGCACUAGUGUUUUCUUCCUCUUUUCGGUAUUUUCUUCUUCUUUUUUUUUUCAAAAAAAUCAAUUUCCUUUUCUCCUAAACAAAUAUCAGUUUUUUAGGGAAUUAUCUUUUUGUUUUUCCACUUAUCUUCUAAAGCUUCAAAUUGUACUUUGGUUCUUUUAUAUUUCCAAAUCAACCCACUGAUGUAUUUAUUUUAUUUUAUAUUUUUUCCUCUUUUUUUUUUAGAAUAUUACUUAAUGAAGUCCCAAUCUAAAUGAUUUAUUCUAUCGUUCUCAAUUUUUUUAUUAUAUAAAAAUCAAAUUUGGGGUUAGUAAUUUGAAUUCCAUAAUUUUAUUGUCGAAUGGUACAAUUAGUACCAAUAAUCUAUCUUAUUUUAUAUGCAUUUCAUUAUCGUAGUCUUUGGAGAAGAUGUCAUGCUUACAUUUUAUUGGCCAAACCCCAACUAAUAAUGGUAUUCACGUAUAUAUGAAGUUAUAAAUUCAAAAUAUUAUUUUGUGAGUAGGCUCUUACUUUGGCAGAAUUGAUUUUUCUCGAUUGAAUUAGUUUUUCUUAUUAAAUUAUUUUAUUUUUUUUCUUGAUCAAAUCAUUGAUAAGCAAUUAAUUACUUUACAAAAUCAGUUCAUUUUAUAUUUUUAUCGACUCGUAAAAGUUUCUUUUUUUCAUGUGAGCAUAUCUUUCUAUCUAAUCUUAUUCACAACCAUUCAUCUUUCAUUGUAAUCAAAUCAUGAUAUACAUAAAUUAUCGUGCUUUGUUAUCGUCCAAUAAAAUAUGGAAAAUAAACACUCACUACAACUGAAAGUAUUUAGAUGCUGAUAUCAAGUGAAUUGAAAUAGUUGCAUUUUCUUUAUUGCAAUGGACAUACUUGAAAUUUUAGAAUGGGUUAUUAGUUCAUCAUAUAAUUGAAAUGCAUGUGAGAGGAUACGUUCUAUUAUCUCAGCUUUUUAAUUAUAUAUAUGCUAAACCUUAAUUAGUGCACGGUUUUCAGCAAAUAUCGCAAGCUCUUGCUUUAAUUAGAUUGUUUUAGAGGCCUUCCUUUUUCUGCCAUGCACCCUUCGUUGAUGUGCGACGCAAUGCUCGGAUUUUUCAUCUUACUAAUAGAGCCAUUGCGGUCGACUAGAAUAUGUAAGUUUGACAUUCGGGCUCACUAAUCUUGGGUUGUCCAAGGAGUAUUUUAUUUGUGUCAUCNNNNNNNNNNNNNNNNNNNNNNNNNNNNNNNNNNNNNNNNNNNNNNNNNNNNNNNNNNNNNNNNNNNNNNNNNNNNNNNNNNNNNNNNNNNNNNNNNNNNUAACCAAAUACAUAUUAGAGUAGGAGAUAUGAUUUGAUUCUAAUUAUUCUAAUUGUGAGUUAAUUGAUCCAAUUAAUCAGUAAGAUCAUAUAUUUGGAAUAUAGAAUAGGAAAAAUUAUUUCAUAUAUUCUUUCCUAUUGUACAUCCUUCUUGUAUUAUAAAUAGGCUUGUAAUACAUGUACAAAAUUUGAGAUAUACACGAAACAAUUUUCUCCAAUAUUUUUUAUGUUCUAUUCAGAAAAAUGGCAUCAAAGCACGGUCAUCACUGAGCCUGCCUCUUGCCUUUGGUCAUCUGAUUUUGGCCGGCGACCACUAGCCAUCUGUUUGCUUCUUCUUUGGAGCCAUCGUCCUUCAUUAGUUUGCUUUGAUUGAUUUUUCUGGGCACUAUCUUUUUUUUACCAUUGGUUAUCAUGUCUGAACAAAGCUCCCAGACUGAGGAAUCCUCCAGCUACACAUUGGCUCAUGAAUGGACCGACAAUCCGUUCUUCCUCCAUGCCUCGGAUGGCCCUGGUUCGAAUUUAGUCAGCAUGGUUUUGACGGGUGAUAAUUAUGACAGCUGGUCACAAGUUUUGUCAUGGGAGAUAUUCCAAAACCUGAAUCAACCAAUGCCACAUAUGCCCCAUGGGUUCGCGUCAACAACAUGAUAUUAUCAUGGGUCCUGAAUUCCAUCCACCAUGAUCUUGUCCCAACCGUGUUGACCACGGAAUUUAUUGCGGACGUUUGCACUGCUCUGUGUGAACAUUUUUUACCGUCUAAACAAUUGCUACACAAUUUGGACAUUUUUUUAGUCAAGUAUUAAAAUAUUUUGUGACGUUAUUGGGAUGAGCUAAACAAUUUGGAACCCUUGCCGAACUGCCCUUGCGAAGCAAGGACAUUGUUUGUGAUGCAAGUUGAGAAUCGACGUCUUUAUCAAUUCUUAAUGGGUUUAAACCCGAGGUAUCCUAAUGUGGUUAUUCAAGUAUUGCUCAUGAAUCCAUUAGCCACUGUUGCGUGGGCUUACUCACUUAUUCUUUAGGACGAAUCUCAAUGCCACAUUCACUCGACUUGUAUCUCCACAGAAAACAUACUGUUGACAUAUGGCUCCAUGCGAAACAUCCCGCCUCAAAUGGACUUGCCACUCUCGGCUCCAUCCCAUAAGCACACCGAGACCGCUUCUAUUCACCUUGUAAAACGCAGCCCUGCAUCACGUGCUCGUGAACGUUGUGCCCAUUGCGGUAUACCAGGCCAUUCCCGUGAUGUUUGCUUUCACAUCCAUGGAUUGCUCGCUAAUUAUAAGGGACAGCGUCAGGACCAGCCUCCCACCAAGCCCUCGGAUAGCAAGCUUGCCACCAAUCCUAAGAACUCCUCUUCCACAUCUCCACCGCCAUUUACUAGUGAGCAAUAUAAACAAAUCAUGCGAUUAUUCCAAGAGGUGAACAUUUCCAAGGCAAAUCUCACAGGUACUAUUCUUGACUUGAUUUCUAAUUCAUUAAAUUCUUGCACUUAAGUUGUUGAUUGGAGCCACGAAUCACAUUACACAUAACCUUCCUAAAAUCUCUAAGAUCGAGCCGAAACCAAACUAAACCUCUAACGAAAAUCGAAUCAGAUGCUUAAAUACACUGAUCCGCCUUCCUUGUCAUGGAUAAUGCCAACAUCUCUCUAUUUUUCAGAUUGGCUCUUUUCAGACGAAUCUAGACAUCUAAAUAAGUUUUUAUUAUAUACAACCGCUAAUGAUUCCACAAACGCAUUUAAGAAGUCACUUGAACUUCGCCAUUUCCUCAAAUCAUCAUGACCACAAAAUGCGCCUCCCAAACGAGCACACAAGAGGAUGUUCCUCGACAAUCCGAUCCAGUUCUCAAACUUCCGUAGCUCCAAUGCUGAUGGAAACAAAAUGAUGCAGCCAAGCUUGCUAGGCAAACCGAUUCGCCUCAUUGCAAGCCGAAGAAAAUUAGAGACAUCGACAAAAUUACUUGAUUCGAGCAAAGAUAAACGAACUCAGACAUGCACAAACAGAAGCUAAACUGCUCGAGGAGGUGGAAGAUGCAGCAAGUACGGACUCCGGCGAUCCAAUCGGAAAUGGCGACUGACAGAGACUUCGUGGAGGGUCGCUCAUUCUUCUCUUGGAGUCGCACGAAGAAAAAGAAGAAGAUAAGAAGAAUUGACGAGCGGUGAGCUUUAGGGGGGUAAAAAGGGAAUGCGAAGGAUUUUGUGACUGACGAUAGAGGUCAUGCUAAUGUACUCACUCCUGCGCAAUGCGCACUUGUGACGUAUGCAAAAAUUUACAAAUUUGACAUUUUUCAUUUCGUUACCGCCAAAUUGUUUUUUUCUUUCUUUUUUAUAAAAAAAUUAUCUGCUUUAUGACGCUAAUUGAUAUUUAUGCAAUUUUUUUUAAUAAUGUGUUUGAGAGUUUUUAUUUGAUUAGUGUGAAUGAUGGAGACGUGCGACAAUUAUUACAUUCGGAGUGAAUUGAUAUAAAAUGUAAAGAUGGUAUAUGGAAGUUCUUUAUUUUAUUAUGGAAGUACAGUGGUAUGAAAAGUAAAGUACAUUCUUUCACAAAUUUAACUUCUAUUUGUGUUUUGACAAAAAAAAAAAAAAAACUGCUAUUUGUGCAAAUAAUGCUUCUAUAGUCUUUUGACAAAAAUUUUACAACAUUUUGGUAAAAACAAAAAAAAGUCUUUCGCAUGUGGUGACAUCUUAAAUUUUUAAGCAGUAGUUAUGUAAAUAUCAUCACCAAUUGUCCCUAUAUUUUUCCUUGAAAUUCAAAAUUAUUGAUUUAAAAAAUAGUCUUUUAGUUUUAACUCAAUAUGCAAUGUAAUUCUUAAAUUUUAAUUUAUUAAAUGUGGUCCCCAAAAUUUAGCUAAAUGUGCAAUAUAAUCCAUGAGUUCUUAAUUUGUUCAACAUGGUCCAUGGACUUUUCAGGAUCAUUUGUUUCAUUUUUCUAUGAGAAAUUAAUAAACCAAAAUGGGGUUGGUGUUUUUAUGCUCAGUAAAGAAGUUAAUGCAAUAAAUUCUAGCAAAAAAGAGAUUGUAUGUUAUGGUACAUGUAGAAAUUUAUUUUGACAAUGAAAAUUUACAAAUUUCGAUGAGUGAUAUGUAUCGCUCCUGACAAUUCAACAUAAUAUCGUGCAAUUUGUCGACAUUUUGAAAAUGACAUUCACCCGUGGCGCAAUUACAUCAUCCACCGUGCAAUCCCAAUCAUUGUCAAGUCCAUACCCCUGUAUGCCUCCUCGUCCUAAUUUGACUGGAUGUGUUAGAGUUCGUUGAGGGGGACCAUGAGGCAAGGGAAUUGCAGUGCCCAAAUGAACCAAUUGAGGAAAGACGGGUCGCCCAUCAACGAUCUAUGGCGGUGGCGAUGACGGAAGUGGCGAUGACAUGGGGGCUAGAUAGCCACAAGUGCUUUGCUAGAGUCCCAAAUAUCUUGGAAUCAAUCAGCAUCCGAUAUGUGAGGAGCAUGUGAAGAAUUGAUACACAACCUUAUUAGAUUUAUCAUAUAGUUUAAAUUCAUUAAAAACUUGACUAAAAAAAUGUGGCUUGAUAGACUUAACACAACAUUUCUCAAAAUUUUGGGACUGAAUAAAGUAAUAUGUGCUGUGACACACUUGAUUUAACCUUAUGGUCGAUUUUUGUGAUGACUGUUGAAUCGAAUCAAAUUAAUCAAUUCUUUUGAAUGAAAAAAAAAAGGCCUUUUAAAAAAAAAUAUCAAAGUUAAUGCUUUUAAAUUUAUUGUUUCCGCCCCUUUCGAUAUCCUCCAUUUUCAUUUCAAGGACAUUGAAAAAUUAGAGAUCCUCUUUUGUAAUAAAAUUAAAGAAUUAUUGUUAAGGAUCGUGCGUUUUGCUAAAUUCCCCAGUGAGCCCGACAAUGGCAGCGGGAGGCGAGAGGUGAGAAUGGCGGUGGUCGCCGUCCAUCAGUUCGCUCCGUGCAUCACUUGCCACGCCUGGAGUCCCGACCGCUCCAGUAAUCCUGCUCUUUCCUCGAUUUUGCAUUUCGUUUCGGAUUGUUUAAUUGUUUUGGAAAUGCGCUGUGAAAUUAGAUGAGUUCUUUGUUGCUUUUUUCUGUGAUUGCAACUCGAUAUCUGCGAAAGAAGGCCUCGGUGAGUUAAUAGGCUGCUUGAGAGAGAGUGUUUUGAUUUUUUGUGUACUUUUGGGACCUUGGCGCUUACAUAGUCGAUUGAACUCAACGAAAGCCUUUGCCUAUGGUAAUGAUUGAUGAAACGGAGGGCAACGUAUGACGAAGUGCGCAUUUUGGAGGGUGCAAAUCUCUAUAUCUCUUUCCCCCGAUUGCUGCAAAUGUUCGCUUGAUGUGUUUCCUGGUGAUCCUGUCUUUCCUAUCAUUCAGUGUCUAUCAUGGUAUUGUAGUCCUUGUAUUCAUCAACCGUUACGGGCCAAAAAGGGAUUCCAAAUUUGGGUUUUUGAAGGCAGUUCUAACAAGUAACAAAGUAAUAAAUUGCAGUGUGAGAAGUCAAGUAUAAGCUAAGCAUUCUAAUGACUAUGGAUAGAUGAAAUGCAUUUUGAAUGGCAGGUCUAACUUCUAACGGUUCAUGAGGAUCUCCACCUUAGAUAGAUAAAUACUGG